CAGCCGCCGCGGUAAUACGUAGGGUGCGAGCGUUAAUCGGAAUUACUGGGCGUAAAGCGUGCGCAGGCGGUUCGUCAAGACAGAUGUGAAAUCCCCGGGCUUAACCUGGGAACUGCAUUUGUGACUGGCGAGCUAGAGUAUGGCAGAGGGGGGUAGAAUUCCACGUGUAGCAGUGAAAUGCGUAGAGAUGUGGAGGAAUACCGAUGGCGAGGGCAGCCCCCUGGGCCAAUACUGACGCUCAUGCACGAAAGCGUGGGGAGCAAACAGGAUUAGAUACCCCAGUAGUCCCUGUCUCUUAUAC
rnacentral:rRNA from 1 species